rnacentral:rRNA from 1 species
GAUGAACGCUGGCGGCGUGCCUAAUACAUGCAAGUCGAGCGAACAGACGAGGAGCUUGCUCCUCUGACGUUAGCGGCGGAAGGGUGAGUAACACGUGGAUAACCUACCUAUAAGAAUGGGCUAAAUUCGGGAAACCGGAACUAAUACCGGAUAAUAUAUUGAACCGCAUGGUUCAAUAGUGAAAGACGGUUUUGCUGUCACUUAUAGAUGGAUCCGCUCCGCAUUAGCUAGUUGGUAAGGUAACGGCUUACCAAGGCAACGAUGCGUAGCCGACCUGAGAGGGUGAUCGGCCACACUGGAACUGAGACACGGUCCAGACUCCGACGGGAGGCAGCAGUAGGGAAUCUUCCGCGAUGGGCGAAAGCCUGACGGAGCAACGCCGCGUGAGUGAUGAAGGUCUUCGGAUCGUAAAACUCUGUUAUUCGGGAAGAACAAAUGUGUAAGUAACUAUGCACGUCUUGACGGUACCUAAUCAGAAAGCCACGGCUAACUACGUG